GGGCCUGUAGCUCAGUAGGAUAGAGCGGCAGAUUCCUAAUCUGUAGGCCGGGUGUUCGAGUCACCCCAGGCCCA
rnacentral:tRNA from 4 species